AUACAACCCUCCCAUCACAGUCAGACGGGCACAAAACUUCAACCAGCCGUUUCUCUGCCUGGAAGCGGCGAACAUGUAACCUGGACGGGAGGCUGGAUGGGGACACAUACCAUGAGUGACAUCUUACCAGAGGGUGGCCAUGAACUUCAUCAUGUUCCACAACUGUUAAUGACCACUGGCGCUGGCCCUGCUGCUCUCUGAACUCCUCUCUAUGGAACUGUGCCCCUUCUCUGGGAAGAGUCCUUGAAGCUCUACUGAGAAUGAAACCUCUUCUUUCAGCUCAUGUCAAUCUUGAAUCUUGCUCUGUUGCCCAGGCUGGAGUGCAGUGGUGUGAUCUCGGCUCACUACAACCUCCAUCUCCAGGAUUCAAGCGAUUCUCCUGCCUCUCAGCCUCCUGAGUAGCUGGGAUUACAGAGGCAGUGACUGGAGGGCUGGCAUUUGGUUUAAACGAUCGUAACCACCACCAUCAUGGCAAGGGAGCAGGACAGAGCAAGUGCGGCAGGAUCUUGGAAGUUCCGAAUCUGGCUGUCAGGGCAGAAGAGUGAACGGGCAUCGUAUACAUAAACAUCAUACGAUCCACAGAGGGCUGGCCAGCCCGAGUUCUUAAUCCUGGCUCCAUCACUGACAAUUUGCAACCCGGAGAAGUCACUCUCUCUGUGUUUUCUGUCUCUAAAGUAAAUAAAGGAUAACACACUUUAAAAAUCAAUUGGUGUUCUGAACAAAAAUGAUGGGUGUGUGAAAUGAGGACAACUCUAAG